UAACGAAUUCAUUUGUUUUUAUUUAUUUAUUUAUUUAUUUAUUGACCAAUGCCGCCCAUCAAUCAAAAUCCGAGCACAUAUCUUAAAGAAACCUCCAUAUCCGACGCCUAAGCCAUCCAGAACUAAACAGAACCCAGAAACACACCCAAAGAACCCAGAAUUUCAAACAGAACAAGCAAGUCAAAAAUCAACCCAGAAACAAACCCUCGAAACAAAAUAAAAGACAAAUAUCCAAGUAAAAACAAAAAUCAAAACAUUGACAAAGCAAAAGGGAAAGGCAGGAAUUGCGUCGCUAGUGAUUCGUCGGCAAGGUGACAGAAAGCGAUGAAAGAUGGCAUACGACAAUCCCCCAUAAACUGGGUUUCAUCAUAGGCGUAUGGUUCCUUUUAUGAUUAGGCCUUGGUGAGACUGGCGAUUGACGUGGAGAUCAACGAUGGCUGGUGGUAGUCAUUGGUGAACGACGUCAGCAACUAGUGGAAACUGCGACGGUUUCAGUCGGGGUUUGGAUUUGUUUGUUUCUCUGGUUAAUAAUAAAGAAAAGAGAACAGAG
rnacentral:lncRNA from 1 species